AUUUUAACGACGUUUAGGACGGGUGGGACGAUGCAGCCACAGAACUCCCGCCAGCGACGGGUGGUUGUUCUCAAGAUUGGGCGUCACUUCUUUAGCAGCCCUAGCGUUUUUUUGGCAUUGCUUGUCAGUUUCAAGAAGCGAGUACUUGUCACGCCGUCACGAAAAGGCCGUCCAAGUGGACAGGGCACACUGCGACUGACGACGAAAAAGCAAACACGGUUGCCUGCGGCAACCCUUGUACGUACCACGCUGGGGACACGCAUGUGUGCCUUCUCUUUCAGAAUCACGAAACGCCUCACAACUAACAGAGAACAGCGUGGGUGAUUCGCGCGGCGUCUCGUCUUCGUUGAAAAAAAAAGUGAAUCCUCCGCUGUCUAGAUACAAGUGGACAGAUGUGUCUCGUCAUCCUCGCUCGACAAAGCAAGCCCUUCAAGAGAUACGUGGCCUACAUUUGGACACCGCCGCACGUUAUCUGCACUGAUUUAAUCUGUUGUUUCUUUGGGGUCGUUGGCAUGAAUGCCUCGCCGGUCUUGUGGCAGUGAGGCUGUACACAAGUAUGCGUUACCAAAGAGCAAUGUCCGAAGGAGGUUGGACAGCGCAACCUGACUUCGACUGAGCACGACGAGUCAUACGUCUCCAACCGCACACGAAAACAUGCAAGAGUAUUUCUUCUUCGCCAGCCAAGAUGGUUCGCGAUUCGAUUGCGCGCUGGAAACAACAUAGAGUGUACCGUCCGAUCUUGGUUCUGCAGAAGUGGUAGUGGGGGAUGAGUUAGUGGAAUUACAACCUGGUUGUCCAUCCCUCCUAGGCUUGCCCGAGGGUUGUGUUUUACGGAGGCCUGUGAGUGUUUUGUGAGGCGUCAACGAGUAUGGUGGCCCGCCGAUGUGUCAUUUCAUGAUUCUCAUGGAGUGGUGAAGUUUCUACAGGGUGUCUUCUUCAACUGAGAACACAUUCAUUUAUCACCUUUGGUUGCGGGUUACUGCUCCUGUAGUCCGAUUCAUGAAGGCUGUGUAGUUCAGGAUUUUUAUUGUAGAAGGCUCCUUCACCGUCCGUUCUAUUUGCUUGCUUCCGAGAAUGUUUUUUGAUACCAUGCACUUUGCAAUGUGGCUGGGUAGGACCCUCAUCUCAGUUUCCAUACAAAAAUGGAUGUGAAUAUACCCUAACAACACGGGUUGGGAUUGAGGAGUCCCAUCUUUAACACGGUUAUCGCUAAUCUCAAUGCUGCAAUCGGUAUGGCCCCAUCUUCAUUUGCAUUUCUUUUUCGAACGUCUGGGUCCUGAAGAGAGCUACGUGGCAUGGCCGAGUAAGCGUUUCGUACUGAGAGCGUGCACGUCCAUCCGAAGGUGUUCUUUUAUCAUAAAUGUACCUCUAAACACGCAUGCUUUCCCGUGCAUGAAAGUGACAAAAAGGGCGUACAGUCAAGCACUCUGAAGCGUAUUCAAUAUGCAGGAAGCCCAUCAACUAAGGAAAGAAAACUCCUGGAAGUCAUC
rnacentral:lncRNA from 1 species